AGCCUUUCUGCUAUGCCACGUCCCAGGAAUCCUCUCCUGCCCUUUCUUUGUGAAGGAGUUUAUGGGACAGUCCUCGGGGAGCUGAGUUUGUCAUCACAGUGACUGGGAGUCAACAUCUUGGAUAAUACAGAUUCAGGGCUGGACGUUCACAGAGGAUGGAGCUGCAGUAGUGAUCAGAGCUCCUUAUGGCUGAAUCCACAGCAGAACUCUGGGAGCUCUGAAGCAUGAAGGGAGCAUGAAAAACAUCCUCCCAGGAAGCAUUCUAUCACCAAGAGACAAUACAUUGAUCAUGGAUUCUGAGCAGCUGAUUGCUCAAUUUCGGAUGCAGUGGAUACCUUAAUAGAUUCCUUUUCUGCCGGGAAGACUGAGAUCCUGGCUUCUGAAUGCUGACCACAAAGAAAAGGCAAGCAAUAUAUUCCUGCUAGGAGAAGAGACUACAGAGCAAGCGCAGGCUGGCCUGCGACCGUCUGGGAUCAGAAUGAUCCGUGAUGAGAGCACACCCCCCACUUCAUACUGGCAUCAGUUAACCACACAGGGAUGCUUUGCUUCCUAUGUCUGUAUCACAUGCAUAGAGUGCUUAAGGAGACCAGCAGAAGGGAUUGGAUGUCCUGGAACUAUCACAUGCAUAGAGUGCUUAAGGAGACCAGCAGAAGGGAUUGGAUGUCUUGGAACUGGAGUUACAGAUGGUGGAAUGAAUGGUUUGUAACAAGGCUAUUGAACAGUAAACCAUCUGCACCUCAGUUUUUCAGCUGUGAAUAAAGAGAAUGAACUCAAACGUGCUGUAAAGGAUUCCACAAAGCAAACAUGUUCUGCCAAGUCUCACUCUCACUAAUCAUCUUUAUCAUCAUCUGACUGGUAUUUCAUUAAAAAUAAAAUAGAUUUUUCAAGGUA